UCUAGUUUUUCUUCAAUUAGUCAGUAAGCCUUUUCCAUAGGAAAUAGACACCGUGAUUAAUCCAUUUAUUUUUCCCAAAUGCUUACCUUGCUAAUUCUGCCAUUUAAUAAAUGAACACCCCUGGGUAUACAGUUUUAAAAUCCUGUGUCACAAAUUUUGAGAAAGAACUGAUUGUCUUUGCGGUCAUCCAUUUCCAGCCGUACUCUGUGUUUUCUAGAUAGCCUUAUUUCACAGCUCUAACCCUGUCCUCCUGAAACACCCGGUAAUAGCAACUGGCAUCUUAUGUCUGAUUUCAUGGAGU
rnacentral:lncRNA from 1 species